GCCUGGGUAGCUCAGUCGGUUGAGCGUCUGACUACGGCUCAGGUCAUGAUCUCGAGGUUCGUGAGUUUGAGCCCCAUGUCGGGCU
rnacentral:tRNA from 1 species